rnacentral:rRNA from 1 species
AUUGAACGCUGGCGGCAUGCUUUACACAUGCAAGUCGAACGGUAACAGGCCGCAAGGUGCUGACGAGUGGCGAACGGGUGAGUAAUGCAGCGGAACGUGCCCAGUCGUGGGGGAUAACGCAGCGACAGCUGCGCUAAUACCGCAUACGAUCUAUGGAUGAAAGCGGGGGACCGUAAGGCCUCGUGCGAUUGGAGCGCCCGAUGUAAGAUUAGGUAGUUGGUGGGGUAAAGGCUCACCAAGCCAACGAUCUGUAGCUGGUCUGAGAGGACGACCAGCCACACUGGGACUGAGACACGGCCCAGACUCCUACGGGAGGCAGCAGUGGGGAAUUUUGGACAAUGGGCGCAAGCCUGAUCCAGCAAUGCCGCGUGCAGGAAGAAGGCCUUCGGGUUGUAAACUGCUUUUGUACGGAACGAAACGGUCCUGGUUAAUACCUGGGGCUAAUGACGGUACCGUAAGAAUAAGCACCGGCUAACUACGUGCCAGCCGCCGCGGAAUAC